AUGUUAUUAUUUGAAUUUAUCUGACUAGGUGCGGCGCGACUAGGAUAUGAAUUUUAAUUGUAUUACUCAAGUUAGCAUUCAAGUUGAAGUUCAAGUUCAAGUUAAAUUUCCAGUUUCAGGUGAUUGAUAUCGGAGGCGCGUGGAGAGUCGAAUGGGCGCGUCGAAUCUAUUUAAAGAUAAAUGUUUCUUAAAGCAUAUUAUGUUAUUUCAUGUGAUAUCUUUUGGUUAUGUAAACUCUGAAAUUCUAUACUAUUUGAGAUUUGUGUGUGAUUUGUCUAAAUAAAUGUUGUUAUAUUAUUUUAA